rnacentral:lncRNA from 1 species
GUAGAUAUACAUGUGCAUGCUGACAUGCGCAUCCGCGUUGAAAGGAUCGUUCCUGUCAUCCGUUCCGGAAGAGAACAAGACGAAGAAGACGAUGCUAGCUAGUUCGGCCACCGUCUCUAUCCCAACGCUUUCUCCUCUUCUUUCCCGUGUACAUAAACAAAGUCAUUGUUGAGUAAGCCAAACAAAGACCAGUUGCUAGCUAGCUAUACCGGCCAGCUGCUGCAAAAAACGAUCAGACCAAGCACAAAACGGAUCCAUGGCCUGGCAUGCAUGACAGCAACAAACCACUGGCUAGCUCGGCCAGCGCCACCGCACAAGCUUAACCAGAUCGAACAAGAAGAAGCACCCUCACGGCCAAGGAUAACGAACGAACGAACGUACGUCUCCGUAGAAGAAAGAAUCGUCCAAGGAGGGCCGGCCGGGACCCGAUCCGUAUGAAAGGAGGAGCAUCACAUGCCACGCCCAGUCGGUUGCCUGCCUGCCCCUGCCCCCGUCCAUGACGACCUUGGCCCGAAACACUUGUGUGAAGCAUCCGUACGUGCAGGCGUGGCCAUGGCAUCGGCAUCGGCACCGGCACCUUUCGCCUUUCCUUUCCCCGCACUUAAUGUUGUGUUGGGGUGUGGAGACUUUGAGCCUUGGACCUCGCAUCGCAUGGAGAAGAGAAGAGAAUGGCCCUCCACUACUCCACUCCCCCGUCGUCACCGCGAAACUGCCUCCCCCAGCGCGUGGCGAGA